rnacentral:rRNA from 1 species
GACGAACCGAGCGAACGUUGUUCGGAAUCACUGGGCUUAAAGGGCGCGUAGGCGGGUGCUCAAGUCCGUGGUGAAAUCCUCCGGCUCAACCGGAGAACUGCUUCGGAUACUGGGUGCCUCGAGGGUGGUAGGGGUAUGCGGAACUAUCGGUGGAGCGGUGAAAUGCGUUGAUAUCAUCAGGAACACCAGAGGCGAAGGCGGCUCACUGGGUCUCUUCUGACGCUGAGAAACGAAAGCUAGGGGAGCAAACGGG